rnacentral:rRNA from 1 species
AUACGUAGGGGGCGAGCGUUGUCCGGAAUGAUUGGGCGUAAAGGGCGCGUAGGCGGCCCGGUAAGUCUGGAGUGAAAGUCCUGUUUUUAAGAUGGGAAUUGCUUUGGAUACUGUCGGGCUUGAGUGCAGGAGAGGGAAGUGGAAUUCCCAGUGUAGCGAUGAAAUGCGUAGAGAUUGGGAGGAACACCAGUGGCGAAGGCGACUUACUGGACUGUAACUGACGCUGAGGCGCGAAAGUGUGGGGAGUAAACAGGAUUAGAUACCCUGGUAGUCCACACUGUAAACGAUGAAUGCUAGGUGUAGGGGGUAUCGACCCCUUCUGUGCCGCAGUCAACACAAUAAGCAUUCCGCCUGGGGAGUACGGCCGCAGGGUUGAAACUCAAAUGAAUUGGCGGGG